rnacentral:tRNA from 1 species
GGGAUGUAGCUCAGCUGGCUAGAGCGCUUGACUGGCAGUCAAGAGGUCGUGGGUUCGAGUCCCAAU